UUUCCAUGGCAACACCCUGAUGGCCGAAAGUUACUACCCUUAUUCCAGAAAUCUCUGCAUAAUCUGUCGGUUUGCAUAUAAUUAACAGUGGCUAUAAAUGUGAGUGCAGCCCUGUCCUGUCCUCAGCUGCUGCCCUGGGCGCACUGCCUUGCGGGUCACUGUGGCUGCUCCUGUGCUUCAGCGGGACUAGAAGCUGCCGCCCACGGGCAGCGGGGAAGAAAUCUGGGCAAAGCCAUGAGCCCUCCGAGGCUGAGCUCCAGUUUAGGGGCUCACCUGCCUUGCAUCGUUCCGAGUCCUGUACUGGACUGCAUCAGGCCGCGUCUCCUCAGGGUGACAGAAACCAGGCAGUGAUUCAACUCGUAUUUGACUUUCACAUUCUCCAGCAAUGUUCUUCAAUCUGGGAAGGGUAGAAAAUUAAAGAAAGGUCAAGGCCUCUGGGCCCCCAGGACAGAGGACAGAAGAGCCAGCCCCUCAAACAAAGAUGAGAACUCACGUGCAAAUGACUGCAUUCUCAAAGACAUUGCUGGACAUGUGCGAUGCUUAUCCUUCAUUUCUGCUAAUGGGAUCUUGGUUCCUGGCCAGCACCCGGCCUCUCUGCACCUCAUAGACACUGCAAAUCCUUACUCAGUGACUUCAGGGAUACAGGAUCCGUAACAAGAGGGGAAAUUGAAGUCUGGUCCUAUGAAGCUCUCACGGUUACAAGUUUUCAAACUAAAGAUUUUCUAAGAAAUAUUUUCUUACAAAUAACCCCUUCUGUUACAUAAGGGCUUGACCUGAUUUAUUAAAACUAUCCUGACUCUCUGGCGAGGAAGGGUGGGAACUGCUGAAGGUGCCUCUUCCAAAGGUUUCCAGGGUCCUUCUCUCGGAUGGAGCCUGUCCAACUGCACUCUGGGGAAGGGAGAGAAACAGGAAGGCGUCGCCUUCACGCUCCGGUCACUCAGGAAGGUGGCUGUGCAUGCCUGAGAGCUUGCACCGGGGUGGAGGUAGCCACGGUCCCGAGACACGCCCUCUGCCCACACCUCCCUACCAGCCUGGCCAGACGCCUGGGGUGCCCAGUCGUCUUCAUGGUGGCAGCUGCAGAAGUAAUGACAACUCAUGGGCAUUUGGAGAACGCACCAGGCCCACGCUCAACAUUGCAUUUGAUUCCUGCGAGCGCUCAACAAGGGAAGCACCAGACAGAUGCUGAAAUUUAGGCAUGGCAGCACUGCUUUGCCUCCCUUGGCAGCACAGGGCUGCAGAAGGACUCAGAAUUGCGGGGAACCCUCUGCCUCAAGGCGCUCCACCAGGACACAGACACCCCCUCAGCGGCCCCUCUGCUUUUUCUUCAGAAUCUGAUACAUCUGGCCUGGACGGGAGAUGGUGCCCUCGGGCGCCAGAGUGUGGGGUCCUCUUCACAGCCACUCCCACCCCAAUUCCUGAUCUUCCGAGUUUCCUGGCUCACAGUGUUCCUUGUUCUCAAACCGCUCGCUUCACUGCUUCCGAUUCAACUUCAUUACCUAAAGUGAGAGAUACAGCUUCUUUCUUUCCCUCUCAGGAUCAAUGACUCGGUUUUAGGUCACCAUGGAGAGGGGAUUCAGAGCUCACGCAUCCGCCACACUUGAUUUCAGGAGAUGAGUGGCUGCGAGUCACCCUGCUGUGAGCCGCCAUGGUCCCCUGGUGAAUUGCCCAGGCCAAACGCCAUGGCCUCACCUGCUCACGGGCAAAGCAGCUGCCAGCUUAAAUGGUAAGAAAUUAGUAAAGGAAGGAAGGAAGGAGGGAAGAAGCCGGAAGGGAGAGCACGUCUCCGUCCCUCGAUGACGGCAUCAGGACACACCACGUCGGAGACUUCAGCUGCCAGAUGAGCACGGCCUAUUAGGGCCUCGUCCGGUCCCCGCUUAUCCAAGGGUGGUUAAGACCAAAUUCCUUCCCCAUAAUUAAACAGCAUGUAGACACAUACAAAAAUACCGCAGAAGAACUACACCACUGGGUCAAAACACAUGCCAGAACAAUAUUUCAUUUUAAAAGACAACAUAAAUGUCAACAUUUAAAAAGCCUGCCACAUAAGGUGAAAAACAAAACCUGUUGUGUACUGACUAGUCUCAGAACUCCUUGGCAGUUUUAUCUUUUCCAGAAAACUCUGUCUUCAAACCCCAAGACCUGUCUCCUUGUGGCAUCCUCCACAGGCUUGGUCUACAGCAUGCAUCCUCAGGGGAUUCUUCCAGGCUUACCUGGCCACGAUCCCCAGCACAGAACAGCUCAAGAUCACCGUCUACCCCCAUCUGCCAGAGCAAAUCUAUUUUCCACCAAGAGCAGGACUGUCGGCUGUCAGUCACCAAGGACACCCAGGUUGAUAGUUGGAGGCGACCAGCACAUUCUGAUGAAGUAGGUGAUGGUGCCUGCCCCAGGACCUGUGUGCACUGCAACAGGCAGCCUGCAGGGCGUGUGCCAGAGGCCAGGGCCUGAGCAACAGACACAGCGCUGCCCAGUGGGCCCUGCACCCUUGCAGUGAGGGGCAGCCUCAACCAACGAAAACACCACACACUAAGUCCUAGUUUCCAUCUAAGAAGUGUUUUCUGGAACUUUAAGCAACAUUUUAUUUCCACAGAUGUGGGGAAAAGGGAACCCUAUGGUGCAUAAUUAUUAACUUACUUUAGGGUCCUGUUUCUGGACUCAGUGGACUCAAGUGUAGCCAGGUCCAAUCUGUGCACUUGCCUCUGGAAUGUUCUGCCAACACCCUUUCCCCAGUUUUGCUGGGGAAGGCUGCAGGCAAGGAGAGGAGGCUAUUCCUGGCCCUGACCCAGGAGGAGAGACGGGAAAGGAAUGAGCAGACUUGAGCUUAAAUUUUCAUUGGAAGUAUUUAAGAAACACCUCAUGUUGGUCCUGGUUCUCUAUUAUUUCUCUCUAUUAAAAAUACCACCCCAAGUAAUCUGUACUCACUAUAGAAAAACUGGAAGUAAAAGUAAUAAUUAAAAAAAUCCCUGAAGCCAUAACUCACUCUUCUAUUACUAUAGUCAGCAUUUGCUGUGCCUCGUCCAACAAGCUGGGGUCGCCUCAGGAAAGAAGACUCUACCGUGCCCACUGCCCUCCCUCCAAGUCCUCCUCCUGUGGCGUCCCUCGUCGGGUAGUGCUGCCUUUUGGGAAGUCACUCUGGGUGGGGGUCUCCACCCUCCUGGGAAGUCUCCGGAACAGAAAGCAGGAGACACCGGCGCAUCCAGGCCCCAUCCCUCCCCGAAUUCACGGGCAGCCAGCAGGGGGCGCCACAGCAGCGCAGCAACAGGCACCCGGUUGCCGGCAUCACCGGCCCACGCUCGUUCCCUGUGCAUUUUGUUUAAAAUUUUUGAGAGAAAAUUUACAUAACAUAAAAUUAACCAUUUUAAAGUGUACAACUCAGUAGCUUUAGCGUGUUCACAAUAGAGUGGAACCAUUACCGCUAAUUACAGCACAUUUCCAUCACCCUAAAAGAAAAAGUCCGUUUCUCCCAAUGCCUUCCUCUCCUCAGCCCCACACCCAUUAAUCUACUUUCUGUCUCUGUGGAUUUUCCUGCCCUGGACACUUCAUAUAAAUGGAAUCUUACAACACGUG
rnacentral:lncRNA from 1 species